AGAGUUUGAUCCUGGCUCAGGAUGAACGCUGGCGGCGUGCUUAACACAUGCAAGUCGAACGAUGAUGCCAGCUUGCUGGUGGAUUAGUGGCGAACGGGUGAGUAACACGUGAGUAACCUGCCCUUAACUCUGGGAUAAGCCUGGGAAACUGGGUCUAAUACCGGAUAUGACCUUCCAUCGCAUGGUGGUUGGUGGAAAGCUUUUUGUGGUUUUGGAUGGACUCGCGGCCUAUCAGCUUGUUGGUGAGGUAAUGGCUUACCAAGGCGACGACGGGUAGCCGGCCUGAGAGGGUGACCGGCCACACUGGGACUGAGACACGGCCCAGACUCCUACGGGAGGCAGCAGUGGGGAAUAUUGCACAAUGGGCGCAAGCCUGAUGCAGCGACGCCGCGUGAGGGAUGACGGCCUUCGGGUUGUAAACCUCUUUCAGUAGGGAAGAAGCGAAAGUGACGGUACCUGCAGAAGAAGCGCCGGCUAACUACGUGCCAGCAGCCGCGGUAAUACGUAGGGCGCAAGCGUUAUCCGGAAUUAUUGGGCGUAAAGAGCUCGUAGGCGGUUUGUCGCGUCUGCCGUGAAAGUCCGGGGCUCAACUCCGGAUCUGCGGUGGGUACGGGCAGACUAGAGUGAUGUAGGGGAGACUGGAAUUCCUGGUGUAGCGGUGAAAUGCGCAGAUAUCAGGAGGAACACCGAUGGCGAAGGCAGGUCUCUGGGCAUUAACUGACGCUG
rnacentral:rRNA from 1 species